UCAAUGACUGGAUCCAUCAGUUGG
rnacentral:piRNA from 1 species